CCUGGUUGAUCCAGCCAGUAGUCAUAUGCUUGUCUCAAAGAUUAAGCCAUGCAUAUGUAAGUAUGAACUAAUUCAGAUUGUGAAAUUGUGAAUGGCUUAUUAAAUCAAUUAUGGUUUAUUUGAUGGUAUAUAUUACUCGGAUAACUGUAGCAAUUCUAAAGCUAAUAAGUGCAAUAAACUCUGACUUCUAAAAAGGAUGCAUUUAUUAGAUAAAAGGUCAACACGGGCUUUGCCUAUUACUUUGAUGAUUCAUAAAAACUCAAAGGAUCGCACAGCUUUUGUAUUAGUGAUGCAUCAUUCAAAUUCCAGCCCUAUCAACUUUCGAUGUUAAGAUAAUGGCCUAUUAUAAUGGUGACAGAUGAUAGAGAAUUAGGGUUCAAUUUCAAAGAAGAAGAUUGAAAAACGGCUACCACAUCCAAGAAAGGCAGUAGGCACGUAAAUUAUCCAAUCCUGACAUAAAAAGAUAGUGACAAUAAAUAACAAUAUCGGGCUCUAUGAGUAUAGUAAUUGGAAUGAGUACAAUCUAAAACCAUUAACGAAGAUCUAUUGGAGGGUAAGUCUGGUGCCAACAGCUGCAGUAAUUCUAGCUCGAAUAGUAUAUAUUUAAGCUAUUACAGUUAAAAAGCUUGUAGUUAGAGCUAGGGUUGGGUCAUUUAGUCCGUCUCAUAGUAAGCACUGGUCUACUCAUCCUUACUGUCAUUAAUUUGCUCCUAGCUUUAACUGAUCGGGUUGUUCCUCCAAUGUUGUUACUUUAAAGAAAUUAUAGUGCUCAAAGCUAGCUUACGCUUGUAUAUAUGAGCUUUGGAUAACAUAAUAGAAUUUUAGUCAUUUUGUAUUGGCCUUCAGGAUCAUAGUAAUGAUUAACAAGAAUAGUCAAGGGCAUUCAUAUUUCAUAGUUAGAUGUGAAAUUUUUGGAUUUAUAAAAGCUGAACAACUAUGAAAGCAUUUGUCAAUGAUGUUUUCAUUAAUCAAGAAUGAAAGUUAGGGGCUCGAAAACAAUUAGAUGUUGUUCUAGUCUCAACCAUAAAUGAUGUCGAUUGAGGAUCGAUGGAUGUUACUUUUAGCAUUUCAUCGGCACCUUAUGAGAAAUCAAAGUCUUUAGGUUCUAGGGGGAAUAUGGUCACAAGGUUGAAACUUAAAGAAAUUGAUAGAAAGGCACCACCAGAAGUGAAGCUUGUGGUUUAAUUUGACUCAACACAAAAAAACUUAUCAUGUCCACACAUAGUAAGGAUUGAUAAAUUGAGAGCUCUUUUUUCAUUCUAUGGGUGGUGGUACAUGGCUGUUAUUAGUUGGUAAAGCAAUUUAUCUAGUUAAUUCUAUUAACGAACAAGACCUCAACCUGCUACCUAGCUACACGGAGGUGAUCCUUCAUGGCUAGCUUCUUAAAGGGACUAUGGUCACUUAACGCAAGAAAGUUUAAGGUAAUAAUAGGUCUUUGAUGCCCGUAGAUGUUCUAGGUCACACAUGCACUGUACUGAUGCAUUUAACAAGUCUAUAGCCUUGGCUAACAAGCUCAGAUAAUCUUUAAAAUUUCAUCAUGAUGGAAAUAGAUCAUUGUAAUUAUUGGUCUUCAAUGAGGAAUUCCUAUUAAGCAUGAGUCAUCAGCUCACGUUGACUACGUCUCUUUAUCACAGGUUGAGACUAAAGUUCUAGGCUCACGUAACUCUUGGACACAGGAAUGGAUUCUUUCAUAUUUCAGAUCAGCCUAACACAAAAAUGGUGCAUGAAUACUCUAGACUUCGAGGCUUGGCCACCC
rnacentral:rRNA from 1 species